rnacentral:rRNA from 1 species
UUCAGUUGGUUAGAGUGCCCAACUCAUGGCUAGUAAUUCUAGGGUUUGAGUCCAUGAAGGUUAUUCUUCAUAGGGGUGUAGCUCAGUUGGUAGAGCGUCGGUCUCCAAAACCGUGCGCCGGGGGUUCGAGUCCCUCCACCCCUGCCAAAUAAAAAGGACUUGAAAAAAGUUGGAUUUUAGAGUAGUAUAAGAUAGUAAAUAAGAUUUCGAGGUGUAGCGCAGUUUGGUAGCGCACAUGGUUUGGGACCAUGGGGCCGGGGGUUCGAGUCCCUUCACCUCGACCAAGAAAAGGGCCUAUAGCUCAGGUGGUUAGAGCGCACGCCUGAUAAGCGUGAGGUCGCUGGUUCGAGUCCAGCUAGGCCCACCAUUUGCCCAGAUAGCUCAGUCGGUAGAGCAGGGGACUGAAAAUCCCCGUGUCGGUGGUUCGAUUCCGCCUCUGGGCACCAGGAAUACGGCGGUAUAGCUUAGUUGGCUAGAGCGUUCGGUUCAUACCCGAAAGGUCAUAGGUUCGACUCCUAUUACCGCUACCAUCUAACUAUAUCAAUAAAGAACUUUGAAAAUUAAACAGUAGGUUAAUUUAUAAAACAAGAAACAAACCAUAAAGCCAGAUAUUUUGAUAACAAUAGUAUCUGAGCCUGAUAAACUUUUAUUUGAGAGUUUGAUCCUGGCUCAGGAUGAACGCUGGCGGCGUGCCUAACACAUGCAAGUUGAGCGAUUUACUUCGGUAAAGAGCGGCGGACGGGUGAGUAACGCGUGGGUAACCUACCCUGUACACACGGAUAACAUACCGAAAGGUAUGCUAAUACGGGAUAAUAUAUUUGAGAGGCAUCUCUUNGGUUCGAGCCCCUUCCAGGUCGCCAAAAUAAAAUGCUGGUGUGGCUCAACGGUAGAGCAGCUGACUUGUAAUCAGCAGGUUGUAGGUUCGAUUCCUAUCACCAGCUCCAUGUAAAAUUAAUACGGAGGAUUUCCCGAGCGGCCAAAGGGGGCAGACUGUAAAUCUGUUGUCAUCGACUUCGGUGGUUCGAAUCCACCAUCCUCCACCAAAAAAAUGCGCGGAUGUGGCGGAAUUGGCAGACGCACUAGACUUAGGAUCUAGCGCCAUUGGCGUGGGGGUUCGACUCCCUUCAUCCGCACCAUUUUUAUUUAAUUUAAUAAACGAGCGGGAAUAGUUCAGUGGUAGAGCGCAACCUUGCCAAGGUUGAAGUCGCGAGUUCGAAUCUCGUUUCCCGCUCCAAAUUUUAUGUUUAUGUUGUAAUGUGGGUGCAUAGCUCAGCUGGAUAGAGCAACGCCCUUCUAAGGCGUGUGUCCGGGGUUCGAAUCCCUGUGCGCUCACCACAUAUAUAUUGGGGAUUAGCCAAGUCGGUAAGGCACAUGACUUUGACUCAUGUAUGCGUAGGUUCGAGUCCUGCAUCCCCAGCCAAACAGUAUGGUCUAUUAGCUCAGUCGGUAGAGCACCUGACUUUUAAUCAGGGUGUCCCGCGUUCGAGUCGCGGAUAGAUCACCAAUGGAGAGGUGUCCGAGUGGUUUAAGGAGCUGGUCUUGAAAACCAGUGACUUCGAAAGGGGCCGUGGGUUCGAAUCCCACCCUCUCCGCCAAAUGCCCAGAUAGCUCAGUCGGUAGAGCAGGGGACUGAAAAUCCCCGUGUCGGUGGUUCGAUUCCGCCUCUGGGCACCAAAAUAUGGCGGUAUAGCUUAGUUGGCUAGAGCGUUCGGUUCAUACCCGAAAGGUCAUAGGUUCGACUCCUAUUACCGCUACUAAAAUUUAAUGUGGGCCAUUAGCUCAGUUGGUUAGAGCGCCCGGCUCAUAACCGGUAGGUCUGGGGUUCGAGUCCCUGAUGGCCCACCACAUUAAAUUAAUUAAUAUAAAUUCGAGGUGUAGCGCAGUUUGGUAGCGNAACUAUAACGGUCCUAAGGUAGCGAAAUUCCUUGUCGGGUAAGUUCCGACCCGCACGAAAGGCGUAACGAUUUGGGCACUGUCUCAACAACAGACUCGGUGAAAUUGUAAUUCCGGUGAAGAUGCCGGAUACCUGCGACAGGACGGAAAGACCCCAUGGAGCUUUACUGUAGCUUGACAUUGGGUCUUGGUACUACAUGUACAGGAUAGGUGGGAGGCUUUGAAACCAGGACGCCAGUUUUGGCGGAGCCAUCCUUGGGAUACCACCCUUGUAGUACUGGGACUCUAACCAUAGGCCAUGAAUCUGGUCUUGGGACACUGUCAGGUGGGCAGUUUGACUGGGGCGGUCGCCUCCCAAAAGGUAACGGAGGCGCUCAAAGGUUCUCUCAGUACGGUCGGAAAUCGUACGUAGAGUGUAAAGGCAAAAGAGAGCUUGAUUGCAAGACAUACAGGUCGAGCAAGGAUGAAAAUCGGACUUAGUGAUCCGGUGGUUCUGCGUGGAAGGGCCAUCGCUCAACGGAUAAAAGCUACCCUGGGGAUAACAGGCUUAUCUCCCCCAAGAGUCCACAUCGACGGGGAGGUUUGGCACCUCGAUGUCGGCUCAUCACAUCCUGGGGCUGUAGUAGGUCCCAAGGGUUGGGCUGUUCGCCCAUUAAAGUGGUACGCGAGCUGGGUUCAGAACGUCGUGAGACAGUUCGGUCCCUAUCCGUCGCAGGCGUAGGAAAUUUGAGAAGACCUGUCCUUAGUACGAGAGGACCGGGAUGGACGUACCUCUGGUGUACCAGUUGUUCUGCCAAGGGCAUGGCUGGGUAGCUAUGUACGGAAUGGAUAAGCGCUGAAAGCAUCUAAGCGCGAAGCCAACUUCAAGAUAAGAUUUCCCACCGCAAGGGUAAGACCCCAGAAAGACUAUCUGGUUGAUAGGUCGAAGGUGUAAGUGCAGCAAUGUAUUUAGCUUAUCGAUACUAAUAGGUCGAGGACUUGACCAA